rnacentral:rRNA from 1 species
UCGGGAAUUUUGGGCAAUGGGCGAAAGCCUGACCCAGCAACGCCGCGUGAGGGAUGAAGUAUUUCGGUAUGUAAACCUCGAAAGAAUGGGAAGAAUAAAUGACGGUACCAUUUAUAAGCUCCGGCUAACUACGUGCCAGCAGCCGCGGUAAUACGUAGGGAGCAAGCGUUGUUCGGAUUUACUGGGCGUAAAGGGCGCGUAGGCGGCGCGGCAAGUCACUUGUGAAAUCUCUGAGCUUAACUCAGAACGGCCAAGUGAUACUGCUGUGCUAGAGUGCGGAAGAGGCAACCGGAAUUCUUGGUGUAGCGGUGAAAUGCGUAGAUAUCAAGAGGAACACCUGAGGCGAAGGCGGGUUGCUGGGCCGACACUGACGCUGAUGCGCGAAAGCCAGGGGAGCAAACG